GAGGAAUAUUGGUCAAUGGACGGAAGUCUGAACCAGCCAAGUAGCGUGCAGGAUGACGGCCCUAUGGGUUGUAAACUGCUUUUGUAUGGGGAUAAAGUUAGGGACGUGUCCCUAUUUGCAGGUACCAUACGAAUAAGGACCGGCUAAUUCCGUGCCAGCAGCCGCGGUAAUACGGAAGGUCCAGGCGUUAUCCGGAUUUAUUGGGUUUAAAGGGAGCGUAGGCUGGAGAUUAAGUGUGUUGUGAAAUGUAGACGCUCAACGUCUGACUUGCAGCGCAUACUGGUUUCCUUGAGUACGCACAACGCUGGCGGAAUUCGUCGUGUAGCGGUGAAAUGCUUAGAUAUGACGAAGAACUCCGAUUGCGAAGGCAGCUGACGGGAGCGCAACUGACGCUUAAGCUCGAAGGUGCGGGUAUCAAACAGGAUUAGAUACCCUGGUAGUCCGCACAGUAAACGAUGGAUGCCCGCUGUUGGUACCUGGUAUCAGCGGCUAAGCGAAAGCAUUAAGCAUCCCACCUGGGGAGUACGCCGGCAACGGUG
rnacentral:rRNA from 1 species